rnacentral:ncRNA from 1 species
CGCUAGCGAUGAGGUGAUGGUUCUCGUCCUUAUAUUGGGGCGGGAUGAAAAGGGAACUCGGUGCGGUCCAGCCCGGCAAUGCCGGAACGGACCAAGGCCGCGACUGCCCCCGCAACUGUAAGCGGUAAGCAAUGCCGAAAUACCACUGGCCGAAAGGCUGGGAAGGUCGGCAAAGCAAUGACCCGCAAGUCAGGAGACCUGCCAUCAAAGUAAAAACCGA